rnacentral:rRNA from 1 species
GUAGGUGGCAAGCGUUGUCCGGAAUUAUUGGGCGUAAAGCGCGCGCAGGUGGUUCUUUAUGUCUGAUGUGAAAGCCCCCGGCUCAACCGGGGAGGGUCAUUGGAAACUGGGGAACUUGAGUGCAGGAGAGGAAAGUGGAAUUCCACGUGUAGCGGUGAAAUGCGUAGAUAUGUGGAGGAACACCAGUGGCGAAGGCGACUUUCUGGCCUGUAACUGACACUGAGGCGCGAAAGCGUGGGGAGCAAACAGGGAUUAGAUACCCUGGUAGUCCACGCCGUAAACGAUGAGUGCUAAGUGUUGGGGGGGUUUCCCGCCCCUCAGUGCUGCAGCUAACGCAUUAAGCACUCCGCCUGGGGAGUACGGUCGCAAGACUG